UACGGAGGGGCUAGCGUUGUUCGGAAUUACUGGGCGUAAAGCGCACGUAGGCGGUCUUGUAAGUUAGAGGUGAAAGCCCGGAGCUCAACUCGGAAUUGCCUUUAAGACUGCAUCGCUUGAAUCAGUGGAGAGGUGAGUGGAAUUCCGAGUGUAGAGGUGAAAUUCGUAGAUAUUCGGAAGAACACCAGGUGGCGAAGGCGGCUCACUGGACCGGCAUUGACGCUGAGGUGGC
rnacentral:rRNA from 1 species